ACAGAACCCACAACAACAAUGACUUUUAUCACCAUCUUCAUCUGGGCAGUUGCCUUCUGCAUUCAGGAAACCAUGGGGCAGAUCACUGUGACUCAGACUCCUGCAGUGAAAACUGUUCAGCCUGGGGAAACAGUCACUGUGGGCUGUAAAACCAGCAGUGCUGUAGAUGGUGACUGUGGAUAUGAUGAUGAUGAGCCUUGUCUACAUUGGUACCAACAGAAACCUGGAGAAGCUCCUAAACUCCUGAUCUAUUAUGCAAGCAACGGAGACACAGGGACUCCAGCUCGAUUCAGUGGCAGUGGAUCUGGGACUGACUUCACUCUGACCAUCAGUGGAGUCCAGGCUGAAGAUGCAGGAGAUUACUACUGUCAGAGUAUACACUGCAGUGGUAGUAGCUGUGUGUUCACACAGUGUUAG